UACAGAGGGCUCGAGCGUUGUUCGGAUUCAUUGGGCGUAAAGGGCGCGUAGGCGGCGGGGUAAGUCUGGUGUGAAAUCUCGGAGCUCAACUCCGAAAUUGCACUGGAUACUGGUCUGCUAGAGGGCUGGAGAGGAGAUCGGAAUUCACGGUGUAGCAGUGAAAUGCGUAGAUAUCGUGAGGAAGACCAGUGGCGAAGGCGGAUCUCUGGACAGCACCUGACGCUGAGGCGCGAAGGCUAGGGGAGCAAACGGG
rnacentral:rRNA from 1 species